AUGGAAGUGAUGAUUAUUUGUCCAAAUCAUGGAAGUUGAAACAACUCAGCAAAUUAUAUCUCUAUAUUACAUAGAGAUACCAAACCAAAUGUAUCUUAUCCAU